AAAAUGCGAUAAUAUGUGUGAAUUGCGAAAUUGCGUGAUCAUUGUACUCUUGAAUGCAUCUGGCAAGCAGCCUUAUGGCGCUUAUGGACGGGAGAACGUAAAUAUUUCUAUACUAAGCUCGAGUGCAACACAUGUGUUGCGUAGCUAGUGAGUGGCAUCUUACAGUAAUGUAGAUUUGCUGAAAUGAACGUAUUACGUUUGCACGACGAUACAAGUUUUUUGAAUUUCAAAAAAUAUCGUCGUUGUAGGAGGAGAAAUUUUUUUGAGAUCAACAUCUUACUUCUCUUGUCAAUGAUUACCCACUGAACUUAAGC
rnacentral:misc_RNA from 1 species